rnacentral:rRNA from 1 species
CGCUAUCACUCCUAUGGGAGGCAGCAGUGGGGAAUAUUGCACAAUGGGGGAAACCCUGAUGCAGCCAUGCCGCGUGUGUGAAGAAGGCCUUCGGGUUGUAAAGCACUUUCAGUAGGGAGGAAGGUAGUGUAGUUAACACCUGCACUAUUUGACGUUACCUACAGAAGAAGCACCGGCUAACUCCGUGCCAGCAGCCGCGGUAAUACGGAGGGUGCGAGCGUUAAUCGGAAUUACUGGGCGUAAAGCGCAUGCAGGCGGCCUGUUAAGUCAGAUGUGAAAGCCCGGGGCUUAACCUCGGAAUUGCAUUUGAAACUGGCAGGCUAGAGUCUUGUAGAGGGGGUAGAAUUUCAGGUGUAGCGGUGAAAUGCGUAGAGAUCUGAAGGAAUACCAGUGGCGAAGGCGGCCCCCUGGACAAAGACUGACGCUCAGAUGCGAAAGCGUGGGGAGCAAACAGGAUUAGAUACCCUGGUAG